AGGCAGCAGUGGGGAAUAUUGCACAAUGGGCGAAAGCCUGAUGCAGCAACGCCGCGUGAGGGACGAAGGCCUUCGGGUUGUAAACCUCUUUUAGUAGGGAAGAAGCGAAAGUGACGGUACCUGCAGAAAAAGCACCGGCUAACUACGUGCCAGCAGCCGCGGUAAUACGUAGGGUGCAAGCGUUGUCCGGAAUUAUUGGGCGUAAAGAGCUCGUAGGCGGUUUGUCGCGUCUGCUGUGAAAACCCGAGGCUCAACCUCGGGCCUGCAGUGGGUACGGGCAGACUAGAGUGCGGUAGGGGAGAUUGGAAUUCCUGGUGUAGCGGUGGAAUGCGCAGAUAUCAGGAGGAACACCAAUGGCGAAGGCAGAUCUCUGGGCCGUAACUGACGCUGAGGAGCGAAAGCAUGGGGAGCGAACAGGAUUAGAUACCCUGGUAGUCCAUGCCGUAAACGUUGGGAACUAGAUGUGGGGACCAUUCCACGGUCUCCGUGUCGCAGCUAACGCAUUAAGUUCCCCGUCUGGGGGAGUACGGCCGCAAGGCUAAAACUCAAAGGAAUUGACGGGGGCCCGCACAAGCGGCGGAGCAUGCGGAUUAAUUCGAUGCAACGCGAAGAACCUUACCAAGGCUUGACAUAUAGAGGAAACGGCUGGAAACAGUCGCCCCGCAAGGUCUCUAUACAGGUGGUGCAUGGUUGUCGUCAGCUCGUGUCGUGAGAUGUUGGGUUAAGUCCCGCAACGAGCGCAACCCUCGUCCUAUGUUGCCAGCACGUAAUGGUGGGAACUCAUGGGAUACUGCCGGGGUCAACUCGAAGGAAGGUGGGGAUGACGUCAAAUCAUCAUGCCCCUUAUGUCUUGGGCUUCACGCAUGCUACAAUGGCCGGUACAAAGGGCUGCAAUACCGUAAGGUGGAGCGAAUCCCAAAAAGCCGGUCUCAGUUCGGAUUGAGGUCUGCAACUCGACCUCAUGAAGUCGGAGUCGCUAGUAAUCGCAGAUCAGCAACGCUGCGGUGAAUACGUUCCCGGGCCUUGUACACACCGCCCGU
rnacentral:rRNA from 1 species